CCUACGGGUGGCUGCAGUCGAGAAUCAUUCACGAUGGGGGAAACGCUGAUGGUGCGAAGCCGCGUGGGGGAAUGAAGGUCUUCGGAUUGUAAACCCCUGUCAUGUGGGAGCAAAUGAAAAAGAUAGUACCACAAGAGGAGGAGACGGAGAACACUGUGCCAGCAGCCGCGGUAAAACAGAUGUCUCAAGCGUUGUGCGGAUUGAUUGGGCGUAAAGGGUGCGUAGGCUGGUUGGUAAGUCGUGUGUGAAAGGUGCUGGCUCAAACAGCGGAUUGCAACUGAAACUGGAAGACUAGAGUUUGGGAGGGGGAAGCGGAAUUCUCGGUGUAGCAGUGAAAUGCAUAGAUAUCACGAGGAACACUCGUGGCGAAGGCAGGUUCCUGGACAUUAACUGACGCUGAGGCACGAAGGCCAGGGGAUCGAAAGGGAUUAGAUACCCUGGUAGUC
rnacentral:rRNA from 1 species